UCAUGAUGUAAGUUUAAAUGAAUAGUGCGGAAUAAAUACACAAACCCGACAUCGACGUGUCACUAUUCAUGAGUAUUUACUACAGUGUCUAACAGCACUAAGACAGAUAUGGUCGGAAAAAUUACAAGAAUACAUUAAGGAAGAAUACGGAGGGAGAAAGCAGGGUUGCGAUCGCCAGGCAGCUGCCUUGCUAACUCCGAUGAAUCUGCCACCGAGCUCAGAAAUACCUGAAUUUGUACACAAGGUGCAGGGAGUAAUAUGAGUACGCCAACUCAGUAAGUAAUAAAAGUAAAUGAAGAUUGAGUAGUAAGAAAUCACGUAAACCAUGUCAUAGCACCACGAGAGGUAUUGCAUAUUUCCAAAACAAGAUACAAAUCAAAUCAUUUUGUUAAAUUUCCAACUUCAGUAAACAUCCUUUAGAAAAUAUCUUUCCAGCCUUUUCAAUAGAUGUUUAAUGAAAUAUAUAUAUAAGUGAUGAAAAUCAUAGUCGGCCCCUCGGCCAAAACAUAAUUCGUAUACAACCCCUCGGGCAAACAUAAAUUCAUAACCAUCUCGUAGCUUAAAAAUCUCAGUGGAAGUAAAAAAGCCAAAUCAGUGACUAAAUUCCGAACACCUUGUAAAACUUGAGUUUAAAGGUAAGUUGUUUAAAAAUAUUUGUUUAACAUUUUCAAUAGAGGCUCGGUCUAAAGGUGAGUGAAAGCAGUAAUUAAUCAACAUAUUCAAUAGAAAAUCUCUUUAAGGAGGAGUGAAACCAGUAAGUUCAUAAACAGGCCCCCUCGGGCAAAACAUCACUCGUAUGCAUAUAUAUAUAUAUAUAUGAUUAUAUAUUUAUGGAUCGGGCUGCACGCCGCAGCGAUAUAUGGAUCGAGUUGCACGCCGCAACGGUUAUUAUAUGGUACUUAUUGAGCGUGAGUGCUGAGUGUGAGCACUGGCUGAUGCGAGUUGAGUCAUGAGUAACUGUAUAUGCCCCUCGGGCAAGCCUCUCAGUUACUCAUGACUCAACUCGCAUCAGCCAGUGCUCACACUCAACACUCACGCUCAAUAAGUACCAUAUAAUAAUCGCUGCGGCGUGCAACCCGAUCCAUAUAUCGCUGCGGCGUGCAGCCCGAUCCAUAAAUAUAUAAUCCUCACAACCAGGCCCUCGUCCUCUCUCAGUCAUUAACCUCACAAUCAGACUCUUGGUCUAUCUCAGCCAUCAGCCUCACAAGUCACUCGGACUAUCGAUAAAAUAGGCGUUCAGCUCAAAUAGUAAGGCUGAGGUAGGAAAUUACUAAAAUACAGCAUGACUGAGUACAAUUAUUAAGUCAAAACAUUGAGAAAAAGUAGUAAAAGUCCCAUAAGGGUCCAAAACAGUUGGCACGAGACCCAAACAUGACAUUCCGCCCAAAACAUAGCAAUACUUUCCAAAACACGAUGAUAUCAAACAUUUUUCAAUCAAAUACGCGACUUAACAGUCAUACGAGACGGACUAAGUCACAAUCCCCAACGGUGCACGACUCCAUGCUCUUCAUCUAGCGUGUGCGUCACUUCAAAGUAGCACAACGAUGUGAAAUACAGGGUUUCAUACCCUCAGGACAGCAUUUACAAUCAUUACUUACCUCAAUCCGGUCCAAACUCUAGCCUGUGAUGCCUUUAUCCCUUUAAUUGGCCUUCAAUUGCUCCAGAUCUAACCAAAAUGAUUCAUACCAUCAAAAUAUGCUAAGGGAAUAAAGCCCACUCGAAAAUAACCAAUUUACAUCGAAAAUCCCGAAAUUGGCAAAACCCGGCCCCCCGGGCCCACGUCUCGGAAUCCGAUAAAAAUCACAUCAAUAGAAUCCUUACACUCUCAAGAGUCUAUACAUACCAAAAAUUAUCAAAAUCCGACAUCAAAUGCCUAUUCAAAUCCCCAAAAGAAUUCUCAAUCUUUUCUUCAAUUUUUCCCCAAUUUCCACUGUAAUUUCUCAAAUUAAAUGAUGAAAUUCAAGACUAAAUCAUGGAUUUAAACCAAAUAUGAGUGAAGAAUACUUAACCUAAUAGUUCCACUGAAAAUCUCCUCAAAGUUCACCUUCUCCCGAGCUCUCUAAUGAAAUUUCGAAAUUAUGGACCAAACCCUCGAUUUUAAAAAUAUAAACGGACUGCCUAGGUAUUCUUCAUCGCAAACACAGCAUCACCCUCGCACUCGCGAAGCUCAAAGCUUCACUGACCAAAUUCUCUCCUUCACGAAUGCGAGGGUCACACGCGAACGGGAUGACCACACAGCUCAACCCUACGCGAACGCGAAACACUAAUCGCGAAUGCGUAAUGUUAACUCACACACCUUCGCGAACGCGGGACCUACAUCACGAACGCGAAGAACAACUUGACUGCCCCGCUUAUUAACCCUUCGCGAACGUGAGAACCUCUCGGAAACGCGAAGAAGGAUUGCUCUGCAACAAAAUACCAGAAAAUCAGCCAAGUCCAAAGUCCAAAAAUUGAUCCGUUAACCUCUCGAAACUUACCCGAGUCCCCCGGGACCUCAACCAAACAUACCAACAUAUCCCAUAACCUUAUUCAAACUUGUUCCAACCUUCGAAACGCUCAAAACAACAUCAAAACACCAAAAUCACAUCGGAUUCAAGCCUAAGAAUUUUAAAAACUUCCAAAUUCCGCUUUCGAUCAAAAAGUCUAUCAAACCUUAUCCGAAUGACCUGAAAUUUUGCACAUAUGUCACAAAUGACACAACGGACCUACUCCAACUUCUGGAAUUCCAUUCCGACCCCUAUGUCAAAAUCUCACCUAUCAACCGGAAAACGCCAAAAUUCCCAUUUCGCCAAUUCAAGCCUAAACCUUCCACGGACCUCCAAAAUACAUUCCGAUCACGCUCCUAAGUCCCAAAUCAUCUAACGGAGCUAACCAAAUCAUGAAAAUUCUAAUCCGAGAUCAUAUACUAUCAAGUUUGAUCUUGGUAAAACCUUUCAAAUUUUAAGCUUCAAAUUAAGAACCGUUCUUCCAAAUUUAUUCCGAUUACCCUGAAAACCAAAGCCGACGAUUUACAUAAGUCAUAGUACAUCACACGGGGCUAGUCAUGCCCAAGAACUGGCGAGCUAAGUGCAAAAGCUCAAAACAACCAGUCGGGUCGAUACAUCCUCCCCCACUUAAACAUGCGUUCGUCCUCGAACGUGCCCAGAGUUGUUCCGAAAAACCAUCAAUCCCUGAGUAACCUUACCAUGUACAUACCCGGGGGUGAUCCCACGUCACGCUAUCUCAUAUAGGUCCGAUAAUACAAUGUAGCUAAAAUUUCACAAUCCAACCUAGCUCGUAAACCUUAGAACCACAUUUCCACUUCUGAAAUCAUCUACAAGAUCAAAACCUCAUAUCUAUACUCUGAAUAAGCCCGAACAAGCUGUAACAAACCAUACAUGCAGCCUCAGAUGCAAUUACAUGAUAUACCACAUAGUUCAAACUCUCGUAGCGAUAACUUCUGAUCACAACAGUUGCUUAGAACAACCGAAUAUCGAUAAUAAACCUCUUAUCAAAUAAAGCCCCAUUCCAACACUUCCGUAUACUGCCAAUGAUGAAUGAAACACGUAGAAAGUCAUAACCAUUCCUCAGAUCAACCAUUCAUGAAGCUCCCUCUCCUUUGGCAAGAACCAUAGUAAAUUUUUAAGCCGAGCAUCGAUAUUACCCUUCCAACAUGCUGAAAUCGAAUCCAUUUGUAUUCAUUCUAGAUCCCAACGGUCUCAUCUAAACCAAUACAACUACUCUGUGACAUGACACAUCAAUACCACCUAAAGCCAUAACUCGUGCAAUCCGCACACUAAUAAGCAACAAUCCGAACGUACUCAAAUCAUGAAAAAUGGCUCAAAUAAGAGAGUUGUACCGCAAGCUCACCAUUACCACCACAACACAAUGCUGAUAACCCAUCAUACAUUGUAGAACCAAAACACACAAAUCUAACCCGAAGGAUCAUACCUCGAGAUAACUUUGCCGCAAUGCGCAACCCUAUCCAAACACUGGUUCGCAUGAGACGCCUUAAAUCACCAUGCUCAAAAUCAUCAACCAAGCGCAAUUUGAUGCCUAGCACCCAAAAGUGAAUCACCAUAACCAUAGAGAAGCAAAUGACAAAAUGCCAUAUCAGCCCGAAAGAACAAACCCAAUGCACAACAAAUCAUACAAUGCCCAUUUACCCGUCUCGCUCAAAUUUCGCUAUAAUGCUCAAAUGGAAUCGCACCAUAUGCGGAUAUAACCAACAAAUCACAAAUCCUCAUAACACAGAAAAUUAACUCAUAGAUCACUCCAGAACACGGAUAAGCUCAACAACAAUCAAAUGGCACAUCUCUCAACAAUAAUAGUUCGGAGUCAACAAUCCCGACCCAGUGCAGAACACACAUCCAUGUUGGGCCUAGCAAAGAACUACACAUCAACUCGGGUCACCCACAACAGAUAAAUAACUCUCCGAAGGUUCAUAAUGACUGAAUCAUAGCACAUACUAUCAUCUGACUAGCUUACCCACAUCUUUACAGUCCACAACCGCGAAGUAACCUGUUUAUGAGAACUCCCAGUCUCCAAAUCCAUAAAGCACACGAAUCACCAUAUCGGAUCCCAACUCCGCCGCCCGAAUAUCUAACACAUCCCUAUUACUCGACCAUCCCACGAGGGGUACUUUUAAAAAUUCUUCUGUACCACUAAGAAAACCUUGAAUAUCAAUAGUCGAUCAGACAAGAUAGUGCCGCAAUACCAAUAAAGCAUCCAUAACUCAAACACACCGCUCUUUUUGAAAUGUAUACCCUCAUCAAGCCACACCAAUCAGUGACCUCAUUUAUCUGGUCAUCUAAAGCUGUCCAUGUUGCCUAAGAAUUUAUGACAUUCCUUUCAAAACUGAACUGUGGCCUUACACAUGCAAAUCUCAACCCCAAACAACAUACCACAUAUACCAUACCAUCCUAUGAUAAAUAUGAAAACUUUAUAAUCCACUCCGAGCUACAAUCAACUACGUACUCAGCUAGCCAAGAACUUUUCCAUUUGAUCCCAUCUAGGAGAAAAUCAUUAUACAUCCUAUGCUCCUCAUGACAGUAGAAAAUAUACAUCUCUAACCGUGGUAGAAACCAUCAAGAACUCUCCGAAUUCCAUUUGCACAAGACCAAACUGUUAGAACUAAAUUCCUCUAACUCAACCAGCUAUGUAGGCCAUUAAAACCUAAGAGCAUUGCCAUGAAACACCUGUAGAAACCCAGUGCAUCAUAAGCACCUGAGAACCGAUCAUAUCUGCUACCCUGCCGAUCCAACCUACUACCAAGCUGUCCUAAUUCUCUGAGUUCCUUCCGAAUUACCUUCAAUUUGAUACGUUUCCUUGCUAGUACACCACUAUCCUUAACUAAAACUUACCCCACGAGCUUUAGCUAAAAAUCACAUCGCCCUAAGGCUUAUAAACCCUCACAUUCCUCUAAAGCACCCCCAAAAGAACCACAACCAAGAUACCCGCUCUGAAAAGACCUUCUGCAAAUCUAAAGUCAUUACCUUCAACUUCCUGAUACUGAUGUGUAGAAUCCAUAAAUGAUAUAGAAAUACCAUGAGUCUUGACACCCUCCAAUGCAAACCUCAGUUUCUAGCCAAAUAUAUAACCUGAAAAUCCCCAAUUAUCACAUGAAAAAUCUUGAACCCAUUAGAACCAUCAUCGAGAGUCAUCCACUCUACUCAAGCCGUAAUUAGACCAAUCAAACGGACCGGACGACCUGUGCUCCCUUAGCACUCCAACACUGCAGAAUGUAACCUCACCUUUAUACAACCAAGCAACUUCUUGCUCUAUGCACCGUACAUCCUUUGCCAAUAACAACUCAAGUCAUUCUAAGAUUCUCAUACACCCAUAAAGCAUAACAUAACCUUUAUUGAAAUUUCCUUCACUCGAGCCAUCCUCGGCCUCAACCUCCAUAAGUCAUAACUGAUUCACCCAUACUCCUCAAACGGGAACCAACAUAACACAUAAUCGUGUAAUCAAUUAAUCAAUAGUAGAGUCCCCCACUUGGCUCAAAGCCAUAAAUCAAAACACACAAUAACUCAUAACGUAUAUACUCUAUUACUUCCAUAUUACCAUAGGGUUAUUAAACUCGAUCCUUCAUAAGCUCGUGAAACAUAGACCAUCUAGUACUUUAAAUCUUCUGCAAAUCUCGAUUCACCCUCAUAACAGUCAAGCCCACUCUCUUAGGCAACCCAAAUUCAAAUUGCAACACAUAUAUUUCACUGGUAACAGAGAUCUUCCAAUGAACAACGUAAAGGAUCACACAAUCUUCAAAACAAUCCGCAGGAGAUAGCCCACCUGCCUCGCCUCAAACUAACAUCUCCUUACACCCUUCCACCGUCAUAAACAUUAAACAAUCACUUAAUCUUCCUGAGUCUAAACUCGUCUCACAAUGUGAAAUCCACUCCACUUCCCAACUAGGCAACAUGAGAAGGUCCUUCAACACGCCCACAACUCGGGCUAAACAACAAAUCACGAUGGAAACCAAGCACCAGAUAGUUCUCACUACUCCCAAGAAGACCCUUCUUGUCUCGUUCAAAUCAUAUGCACAUAUCUCGUAGUCACAUCAUACUCAUCACGUAGCUAUCCAACCAUCACUCCCACCAAUAGGGACACUAUUGGACAUAACAAUCCAAAAGCACGUGCUCACACCAUCAACGCCUUAGUGCUCAAGCUAUAACCAAAACUUGGCCUCAAGUCCUCCAAACUGGCCCAACAUCAACACACAGAAAUCAUAUCUCGCCCCUUGAUCGGGGAAUCACAAGCCUUCAAUGCACAACUAAUACGAGCGCUCAUGCGUGCAUACGAACGUGUGGAAAGAAUUUUAAGAGUUACAUUUCAAGUUGAAUCAAGGACACAUGACAAGAAUUCAAGAAUGUGAAGUUUUUCCUAAAGGUUCGGCAGCCUCCCGAGGAUUAGUACAGACGUCUCCGUACCAAUCCGCGAGACUCUACCAUACCUGCUCAUGACUCGUGAGACCUAUGUAACCUAGGCUCUGAUACCAACUUGUCAUGACCCAAAAACUGACCCGGUCAUGAUGGCGCCUAUCGUGAAACUAGACCAGCCGACAUAACUCCCGAAUCAACCAUUUGUCACACCCCUUUUUACUAACCUCACUAACCCUCUUAAAUUAAUAAAAAGAUUCGUGAAGCUCAAAAGAGUUUUCAAUUAGAAAGUGACAGAAAUUUGUGUUCAAAAGGAUUAACUCAGAGUCGCCACCUGAUAUUUGUUUCGGUAUGCCAGGUCACAAUUUUUAAAAUGAUUUUCCUUUAAAAACACUUUAGACUCCAAAACUAAGUCCACACCAGAGAUUCGGGUAAGAGGGUUCAUUUGGCUCAGGGAGAAGGUGUUAGGCACUCCUCAAGUCCCGUAACUAGUACGGUUGUAUACUUGAUCUAGUCGGAUUUUAAAAUAUUCAAUUGAGGUAGAAAACACAGAAAAAGGAAAAUAAACACACAAGAGGCUCGAGGUCAUCUCUACCUAAAUAAAAGAAAAGAAAAUGAAAAUAAAUAAAAAUACUACAAGUUUUUACUUUUGGCCUCUAUUUACAAAUACUUCGGGGCAUACCCCGGAUAAAAAUAUACACAAAUCCUUCGGGGCAUCCCCGGAUAAUAAACUAAAAGAAACGACCUCUCGCCUCGAUACUAAGAAAAUCCUUAGGCUUGCCUACCCAAGUGUGGUCGACCUAAGCAUGUUACUACCCCAUAUUCAAUGCAGAACCCGAAUCAAUCUACUUAUAUAUAUGUAUAAUUAAUCCUUUUGUCAUCUGAAUGGUAACUGAAUCAUGGAACAUUAAAUAAAGCAAUAUGACAAGGACAAAACCAAAAGGCUCAUUUCAGCCAUUAAAACACCUGAAUAUAAGUUACAUGAAAGAAGCACAAAAGAAUAAACAACAGAACAAAUAAACACACACAAAUACUACUAAGGCAUCACAAACGGAAAAAAAUGAAACGUUAACUCAAAAGUUUGAGAAAACAGAAACAUGUAAUUAAGCCAAAAUAGUAAAAGAAAGGAGAGGAAUAUACCUCGUUAAAUUUGAAAUUUGAUUGUGUCACAAUCUUGAAUUCGGGAAUAUGAUGAAUCGCGGACGGAAGCUCGAAUCGUCACUGUAAAUCUCAUCUGGACUCGCACUCGGACAGAAUGUUUAUUCAAACUCGACUUAAAUCUGUUCUCACACUCAAAGACCAAAAAUCACAAAAAAAAAAUGAAGCAACAAAAAUGUUCUCCUCGGAUAUAACCAGCUCGCCGACGAGACAGAACCUGACGGGUGAGAGAUGAGGAAACGAAGAGGAGGCGAUUUUCUAAAGUUUGUGCUGGUUUUCUUAGAAUAGGGGUCGCUGAAUCAUUUGGGCGCGAGGUGAAGAAACAACAAUUGGUGGUUCUCUUUUGUGUGAGAGAUGAAGGGUCAUUCGUCAUUCCUGGGCAUGUGGGUGACUAGUUCUGGGCGGAGGAAAGCAGGCGGCGCCGCUGGUCUAAGCGGCUAUUGAGAGGUAGAGAUGAGUGGCAGAUGGUUUUUCUUGCAGUAGUCUUGAGAGGUGAAGAAGGUUGGGUGUAGGGUGAGAGUUAUAAGGAUGGGUAGUUUUUGUUUGUUCGCUAGCAGAGAGAAUGGUACCCGAGUUCGGUCGCUGAUGGUACGAGAGCUGGCCGACGAUGGCUGAAAGGCUGGUGCUCGGCGGCUUUCUUGUGUAGGUUCAGAUGGCUGCUCCUAUGGUCUUAAGGUUGAAGAAGGUUUUUUUAGUUUGUUGUGGGUUGAAGGAGAUGAAG
rnacentral:lncRNA from 1 species